GGGUGAUUAGCUCAGUUGGCUAGAGCAUCUCGUUUACACCGAGAGGGUCGGGGGUUCGAAUCCCUCAUCACCCACCA
rnacentral:tRNA from 1 species